UACGUAGGCAGCGAGCGUUGUUCGGAGUUACUGGGCGUAAAGCGCGUGUAGGCGGUCCGGUAAGUCCGCUGUGAAAGUCGGGGGCUCAACCCUCGGAUGCCGGUGGAUACUGUCGGGCUUGAGUGCGGAAGAGGCGAGUGGAAUUCCUGGUGUAGCGGUGAAAUGCGCAGAUAUCAGGAGGAACACCAAUUGCGAAGGCAGCUCGCUGGGACGUUACUGACGCUGAGACGCGAAAGCGUGGGGAGCAAACAGG
rnacentral:rRNA from 1 species